CGGCUUUUCGCGCUUCCCCAAAUCGGCCUUUUCGCCCUCUGUGUCGUCUUCCCACAGCGAAAAGUUGUCACCAUGAGGAGCGGAUAAUCCAAAACUUCUUGUCCUCCGUUCUCUUCAUUUUCUAACCCUAAUCUGCUCGCAGAUUGAGAAAUGGAGCCGUCUCUGCUAGAACGGUGCCGCCGCGAUCGCCGCCAGCUCUUGAGCUUUAUACUCUCCUCAGGCUUGAUAACGGAGAUUCGAACACCGAGUGGCUCCGCCACUACCUCCUCCAUCUCCGGCCCUGAUCUCGAUAUUCUCAGCGCCGAGUACGUCCUCGAGUGUAUCCAAUCCGGUUAGUGAACCUUUGACUUCACCUCCGUUUGGUUGCCAGCAAAAUUGUUGGAAAAAAAAUUUAAGUAAGAGGAAUCAUAUCAGUACUACUUUUGGUUGCCCCAUCAGAAAUGAAGACUCCUUGGAUUAGUUCAGCUGUUCCUCAUUAUGUCUGUCUGUCUGUCUCCUGCACUUCAACGAAUUGGUUGCCAAUUCUCUGGUUGCUCCGAAGUUGCUGUAAUGCGUUUCGUGGUGAAAGGAUGGAAAUCAAUUAAACUCUAUUAACCUGAACUUUUGAGCACUGUCUGACACCAUUGAUUCUGACCCUUUGAAUUGGGGCCGUUCUGUUUUGAUCCUUAUGGGAGUGAAUUGUUUGAUUGGAGUUAACAGGUCAAAAUUUGUGAAUUUUGGGCGAGUAAACUGAAAAAUAACAUUAGUAUGAAGGGGGAAGAAGAGAUUUUAAUAUCUCAAUUAAAGACUAGCUGGUUCAUGUCCUGAUUACUAACCGAUUUGAGGUUUUCAUAGGACAAGUCAAAAUUUGUUGAUUUUCAUUUUUACAGCUAAGAAUACCCAGUCAUUGUAAGUUGGCUUACUCUAAAUUUGGGGUGCUUGACAUCUCAAAAACGACUAAAAGUUACUAUGAAGAAUUUUCAUACCCUGCAAUGGUAAGGAAAACAGUAUCUUGUUAUCAUAAUCUGAUGUUCUUCGUGUGGCAAACUAAAGUUUAUAUUAUAUCUUCACUGCAGUACCAGCUUAUUGAAAAUUUAUUUGUAUAUGCUAUUGUGAUUAAUACAAGUCUGUACAAUCUGUAACAUCCAUGUAUCUUAACAAGUUUGCCUACGUUACACUACGCAUUUUUGUUUGUUUUGCUUAACUAGACCUUUUCUCUUGGGGCAACAGAAGUAUUCAUGUGGUUUAUUAUUAUAGCUUCACGCUUACUGCUUAGGAGUUAGGAAUUUAGUCUGUAUUUUGGUUCAGUAGUUUACUAGUUUGUUGGAGCUAUAUGAGCAGGUAUCUAUUUGGGUUUAAAUUGAAAGACCAUCACCUGUUCUCUCCCCAUAGGGAAAAGGUCAAGAGAUCACUGGUUCUAGCAUUCAAAUUUCCAUUUUGCAACUCUAGCCCCUAUUUGCGAGUUGAAAAAGCCAAGAUGAAGAUGGGUGAGAAGACAUGACAUGACAUGACACGACACGGUAUAUAUGAAAAUACUUACAAAGUCAUUAUUUUCUGAAUUGCAAAUACAAGUAUAUGUUAUAUAAUAUACAACAACAGCCAAAAAUGAAGAAUGUUUUCCCCAGUUAAUAUAUUGGAAAAUAAGUGUAAAAAAAUGUUAAUGCUAGACCUACAAAUGAAAUUGCAAAUUUUGGUUUUAGAUUUCUUGAUAUUAACUUGAAUAGGAUAAAAAAAAAGAGAUUUUUCAAGUUGAAAUAUAUAUUUUCUAAUUUUAUUGCUAAAUUCCAAGAUGCAUUUGUUGAACUUACAAUAUGUUAAAUCUUUGUAUCAAGUAGAGGGCACGUCACUUCCUAUGAUGGAUGCAUGCUCUGCAGGACCAUUCUAAGUUCAAAAGUAAUUGGAAACAGUUUAACGAUGUAUGAUGUGUAUUUGGAGUGUGAGUCAAAGGGCAUGGACACUGCACCUUCUUGGAGGUUUUUGUGUUUUUCAAGUGGUUGAAGAGUCUCCCAGGCAGAUGCUGUUAUAUUUGAAACCAUCUUCUACGAAAGCACCAGGCAACUUGCAUAAGCAAGUAAAUGGUGGGGGUGUUGGGAUACAAAUUGCUGCCCUGAAAAUUUUGAACAAAGCAUCUGUGGCCUCUGUACUUUAUAUGUGAUAAAUACGAAAAUUGAGUUGCCCCACCUUAAAUUUAGACAAAUAUAAGAAUUCUUUAGAGUUUUAAGGUUGGCUUUUGAAUGAAUAAAGGGGGCAAACACAAUUCGGUGGACAGGGUAAGAUCCAGAAUAUCACUAAACUGAUAGUCAAUCUCACUUAUAAGAACAUGGGCAAGGCAGUGGUUCUGGUUCUGUUUGAUCAGGCACGCUGCAAUAGAUGAUGGGAACAGACAAUCAUAUAUGUUUAGUUAUUGAAAAGCAAAUAACUUGAUGCAAUGCUUAAAAAGAAAAAUGGUACAAAAUGCAUCUGGUGGGGGCCUAUAAUUGCUUUUCCCAGUUAAGUUAGAAGUUUAUACAAAAUCAGAAUUUUCAGUUUAGGGCCUAAAAUAUGAGAUGAGUUACAUUCUGCAUUCUAUUUUUUGGAUUCCAAAGGCUUUUGGGAUUUGAAAUGUUGAGUUGAGGCCUUUCUGUAGAUGGAAUGGUACUUUUGAGUACUUAUAAAAAAAGGAGAAAAAAGAACUAUUGAGUGGACCAGAAUAAUUUUGAUUAUCUUAUGCAGAUACGCUCCCAGUCAGGGAAUUCCUACUUUUUCAUUUCAGAUCCUGAGUCAGCUGGAUCUCCUCCUUAGCAUGCACCUCCUCCAGUUAAGGGGGACCAGACUAUUAGUCAUGUAUCACACUCAUCUAAUCUGCUGGAUCCUUUGGUUCACCAAAAUGUUGCUGUAUCUGGGGUCAAAUAUGAUGCCACUAGGAUGUCACAUUCAAAACCAGUGAAAAUAAUAACUGGUCCUCCAUUAGGAUUGCCUCCCUUGAAUACAGGUAUUGGUUGCUUUGCUUUUAGUAGAUAUUCUUAGUUACAUCCUGUUCUUUAGGUUUUAAAUUUGUUGCUGAAAGCCUUGAGCUUUUACCUGUUGAUCAACUGAUAUAUAGUUUUAGGAUUUGUAAAGGAAUAUCAGAUGAUGACUUGAGGGAAUCAGCCUUUGAAAUAUUACUGGCAUCUAUGAUAUUUUCUGGUAUCGAGAUUCCUGCUGUUGAAGUUAAAAAGAAAGAUAAGAGCUCUAAUCUUCUAUCUGGACUGAAGAGUAAAAGGGGUAGAAAAUAUGUGCGAUCUCAGCUUCCGGGAGGCCAUUCAGAUCUCCUCAACACCAUUCGCAUGCAAAUGCAGAAAUAAUAAUAUGUCUGGUUCGCUAGAUAUCAGAAGCUGUCUAUUUGUGCACCAGGGAAAGGCUGAUGCAGUUGGCUUCCACAAAAAUGUGUAAACGGAUGGACAUCCCUCAGAUUUCCUUGGGGCUCUUGACUGGCAUGUCCCAGUCUGAUUUUCCAAAUGAGAAGUCCUAUGUUCAAUGGAAAAAGAGACAUGUAACGAUCG